rnacentral:rRNA from 1 species
GAUGAACGCUGGCGGCGUGCUUAACACAUGCAAGUCGAACGGACUGAGGGAGCUUGCUCCCAAAGUUAGUGGCGGACGGGUGAGUAACGCGUGGGUAACCUGCCCUAUGCAGGGGGAUAACGUUUGGAAACGAACGCUAAUACCGCAUAAUCUAGUUGGUUCGCAUGAACUGACUAGCAAAGAUUUUAUCGGCAUAGGAUGGACCCGCGUUAGAUUAGCUAGUUGGUGAGAUAACAGCCCACCAAGGCAACGAUCUAUAGCCGGCCUGAGAGGGUGGACGGCCACACUGGGACUGAGACACGGCCCAGACUCCUACGGGAGGCAGCAGUGGGGAAUAUUGCACAAUGGGCGCAAGCCUGAUGCAGCGACGCCGCGUGAAGGAUGAAGGUCUUCGGAUCGUAAACUUCUAUCAGCAGGGAAGAAUACCAUGACGGUACCUGACUAAGAAGCCCCGGCUAACUCCGUGCCAGCAGCCGCCGUAACAC